rnacentral:rRNA from 1 species
AUUGAACGCUAGCGGGAUGCCUUACACAUGCAAGUCGAACGGAGUGGCGAACGGGUGAGUAAUGUAUCGGAACGUGCCCAGUAGCGGGGGAUAACUACGCGAAAGCGUAGCUAAUACCGCAUACUAUUGGAGCGGCCGCAUUCGGAUUAUCUAGUUGGGGGGGUAACGGCUCACCAAGGCGACGAUCCGUAGAUGGUUUGAGAGGACGACAAGCCACACGGGGACGGAGACACGGCCCAGACUCCUACGUGAGGCAGCAGUGGGUAAUUUUGGACAAUGUGGGAAACCCUGAUCCAGCCAUCCCGCGUGUGCGAUGAAGGCCUUCGGGUUGUAAAGCACUUUUGGCAGGAAAGCGGUACCUGCAGAAUAAGCACCGGCUAACUACGUGCCAGCAGCCGCGGUAAUAC